GUCUCUGUGGUGUAGUGGUUAUCACGUGUCCUUCACACGGACAAGGUCUUCGGUUCGACCCCGAACAGGGACA